AGGUGAUGCUGUCCCCGUGCGGCGGAGGGCGACACUACAACCUCGCCUACGUUUCUGAGGGGCAGCCCGGCUGCUGGUGAUGCGGGGUUGGCUAUGGAACACUCAAAAAUUGCAAAGAGAAAUAUUGUGUUCUGGAAAUUCAUCAGAACAUUUUUUUCCAAUAUCGUCCUUAUGCUCUUCUGAUCCUCUCUUGAACUGUUGAACUAAAGCAGCUGAUGCUUCCACCAGCAACCAGAGUCAUCCUGUCCACUACUAUGGGAACAGAGGGUUUCCAUUUGGAACUGCAGACUGAGCCUAAAGUCUGGUGGCCCUUUGGUGCCAGGAUAGCAGAAAUGAUUCCACCAAUGCCAGCGGCAUGCACCAGAAUCCAGGAAGCAAUCAUACAGCUGAGCCAACCUGCUGUACUUUAAAACACUUGACCACAAUUCUCCAGUGGAUACUCAACCCUGGCUUCAAACUCCCUUGUCUCUCCGAUGAGUUUGCUUUCCCUCUAAUGGAUGACCGUUUCACACCUUCAAGGCUUGCCUCAACAAUCCCUACCCCCACCUCUUCUGAAUUAUGUCACCUCAUUCCCAGCUCCUGUCCUAGGGAUGAGGGAGCAGAAGGCAAGCUGAGGACAAAGCAGAAGCUGGCGCCCUACAGCCUCUCCCCAUGCCAUAUGUGUAACAUUCCUCAUGCACUCCUGGCUGCCCUAAAGGAAAAACGAUGCUUAACUGAUAGAGAUCCCAGUCCUGCAGGAGUCUCCCUCCAUCUACAAAUGUCCUAGCGACUUACAAGGAAGGAAGAAGCUUCUCAUCAAUAACCUGACUUCCAGAGACCCAUACCUCAGUUUCUGGAAGCCCUAACAUCACCCUCCCCUCCAUAAAAUUGAGGGAGACUAAGGGGGAGGGAAGUGUAAUAAAACUGAAUUUCUUCUAAGCCCAAAGCCCACUGACAAGGAUGUGUGAUAGGAGGAAUGUAACAUAUCUCCAGGAAACUCCCAACUGUCUUCAUGCUUUCCCUCAUUAGAGGCAAAAACAGCCUUGACUUGACAACAACCAGGUCUCCCUUAUCCUGAAAUUCUUCUUUAGCAUAUGACAGUCCUUCUGGACACCCCCUUUGUCCUCACCUUCCUCAGCUCCCAGUCAACCACGCCUCUGUCUGAGCAGCUCUUUCUGCCCCUGGGUCCUGUCCCUGUGUUUUAAUAAAACCACCA